GUUCCGUAGGUGAACCUGCGGAAGGAUCAUUAUUGGAUUUUGAAACUUCAGGCUGCUGCUGGCUCUCCUCGGAGGGCAUGUGCACGCUUGUUGUCCAUUAUUUCUCCCACUGUGCACAAAUUGUAGACCUUUCAGUAGGCCUAUGUUGUUUUUCACAAUCUCUGAAUGUAAUAGAAUGGUUUUGAAUCUUGGGAAAUACAAUACAACUUUCAGCAACGGAUCUCUUGGCUCUC
rnacentral:misc_RNA from 1 species